UUGAGCCUACGGGUGUCAGCAUUUAUUCCUAUUUUUCACUUUCCGCAUGGCUGAACCAGCCAAGUCGCGUGAGGGAUGACGGUCCUAUGGAUUGUAAACCUCUUUUGUCAGGGAGCAAAGGGCGCCACGUGUGGCGUUUUGCGAGUACCUGAAGAAAAAGCAUCGGCUAACUCCGUGCCAGCAGCCGCGGUAAUACGGAGGAUGCGAGCGUCAUCCGGAUUUAUUGGGUUUAAAGGGUGCGCAGGCGGAAUGUCAAGUCAGCGGUAAAAUUUCGGGGCUCAACCCCGUCGUGCCGUUGAAACUGG
rnacentral:rRNA from 1 species